UCCUCUGAUUACCUGCCCUAUUGUUUCUUGUCCACCUUUGUCUGUAUUUAAGUUUGCCUUCGUCCUUUGUUCCACACGGUGUUGUUAUGUCUCUUCCAUGUCCUCGUGAGAUGUCUUUUGGAUUUUUGUACUGGAUUAUCUUGUCACCCUGCACCUCGCCUUCAUAUGAGUCAGAGCCCAGUGAAGGAGGUAGAUGAUGCCAUCAUCUACCCCAAUGCCAAGCUGGUAGGCAAACUGCAGCAGAUCCAAAGAAGAUCCCACCAGGGAGUGAAGAUGGUUGAGGACCAAUCUCUCCAGGGUCUUUAUCAGAUGCAUGGUCAGUGCUACCGGCCCACAGCUAAUGCUAAUGUUCCUUCCUUGAACAACAGGAUGGAUAUUUCACAGCUGCACACAAAGCAUGCAUUCCUGCAAGGAGGACACUUUGUUUUUGUAUUUGGCCAUCUCCAAAGUAACAAAUCAGGCUGUAUGUACCAGCGGUGAUGACAGCUAACAUCCUGUAAGCUACUGUAUCUGAUGUUGUAAUGAAUGUCUGAUUUAAACCUGGCGCAGUAAUGAAAAUACUGGAGGCAACCACUAACCAUUGAGCCAAAAGUUUGUCACCAUUAAGAUGAAACACAUACAGGUGAACAGACAUUAUUGCUGACCAGGGAGUCAUACUAACUUAUUUGGCAACUCCACCCACAAACUGGGUGUCAAGAGAUGUGACAGGUCUUGCUCCCCUCACUUGUUUUAUUAGCAUUUUUGUUAAUGCACAUAAUUUAUUUAGCAACAUUUAUUAUAUCAACAUUGGCGUGAGUAUCGAAAAUGAAAUGGGGCUGCAUAGAACUUCUUUGACCGCAGAGUUUUGUCCACAGAGUUUAUGUUGUGAGGAGUGCUGUCAGAACAGAUAAUAUCUGCCACUGGCUCCACUCUGGUUUCUCACAUUAUCAUUCAUUAUUUCUACAUCUCUCCUCUUUUCAUUUCUUUGUCAUAUGCAUCCCCUUUUUUCUUACUGUCUGUCUGGUUGCUGUAUAUCUUCCAGCCACAGCCCUGUUCUCUAACACCUUGCCUUGAUUCUCUUUCACUUGUGCUUGCACAAACUCAGGCAGACUUUUUCUUUCUGUCCCCUCAGAAGGAAACAAUGCACAGGAACGGGCGUGUAGGGUGCAGAGUGGGGUGAAGUUACUUUUGAGAGAUGUCAGGAACAUCCUGUUCAAAGUACACACAAACACAUAUCUACGCACACACACAAAGAGGAUGUUGGCUGGACAAUGGAUAGGUCUCAGGAGCUCAUGUAUGGAAAGAGGCCCUUCCAUACCUUGUCUUACAGUCCCUACACACUAUUCCCUUAACUGUAUUUAAACCAUUUGGCUCCAGCCUCAAAAGUAAAGCAGAUAUUGUUAUAACAAACACAGCAGUGAGAUCACAUCAAUUUCCCCGGAUCAUGUAUUUAAACAACUUGAAGAUCUCCCAAAUGGUUAUCCAGCAUCAUAUACUGCCGCAGAGAAGGAGCCCUUUUCAGGAGAUUCAAUUUAGAGGGUUUGAGUUUGAAUACAAGGCAGGUGUAUUGGUGUGUGAAUGAGUCUUUGUCUAAUCUGCGUGGGGAAGCAAAGCUGAGUCAGAGUCAAAAGUGCAACAGUGGGGUAAAAAGUUCAUAUCGAGAGAUCAAGAAAAAGAUGAAUUGAGGACGAUUAAAGUAAAGGAAAAUCGACUGAAAUGCUUUUGAAAUGUUCAUAGUGCGACUCUGUGCAACCUUAACGCCUACAGCAGAUCAUUUGUAAUAUUCGGAAAAGUAUUUGACAUUUUUUCUUAUCAUGUUAAAUAAUUACUGUCAAACAGUGUUCUGUUUGCUUUAGGUUUCACUGAUUUAAAAAGUAGACAAAUUCCACCUAAACAAACUUGCUUUUCUCUCAGCUUGAACUGUAGUACUAUUACAAACUUAGGAACAUCCUGGCUUGAUGUUUUUUUGUCAUAUUUCUGCACCAUAAUUUUCCUAAUCUUCAACAGCACUGAAAACACUGACAGUCACACUGUGGAUGAGCCUUUCUGCUGCUAUACAACAAAGUAAUCGACCUACGAAUGUGAUGAAGAUGUGGGUAAUAGCAUUUUUGAAGAAAGGUAUUAAUGUUGGACCAGAAAACAACAAAAAAAACAAAAAAAAAGUCAGACACAUAGAUGAAAAAUGGCAUAAAUGUUCCCAGUUAAAUCUAGUUUAAAAGGUUCAGCCCAGGACAAUUAUUCCCUUUCAUUUCAUACACCCACAUACUUCCAUUUUGUCCCAGCUAUUGUUCAUCACUUACAUGUUAAUUUCUUUCAAUACUUACAUGUUAAUUUCACUUUACAGUCAAGUAUUUUAGAAUAAAUAAUCACAUAAAUGCUCAAAUCUUGCAUAUAACACAAUACAGCUGCAUACAAUUUGCAUAUUACUUUCAAAAGAUUCUUCUUUAUACCCUGGUUUCAUCGAUUGUGGAUCCGUUAUGAAAAUUAACCCUGAUCAAAAAAAAUAAUAAAACUCUAAUUGACCUCCUACUGCGAGAUAUUUCUUACUGAAGCCAUAAAACACAUUCACUUACAGUAGGCUAUGAGCAAAGUACAGAAUAGUACUUUCAAUAGUUGGUUGUCAAAGAGGUAAUCAAAAGAGGUAUUUAAGGUGGGUAAACAUUGACAUGUGUUGGGUAUGAAAGACCCCAAGGCAGAAAGCUCCUUAUUAUAACUGAAAACAUUAACCAUGAUGCGACCAAAAUUGCAAAGGUAGAGAACAACAAAGGGGGAAAAUGACCAGCAGCAGCAUGAAGAUGAUUGAAGCAACAGAGAGAGAGAGAGAGUUGAGGAGAAUGUAGUUUUUCUAAGGGGUGGAGUGAUACAAAGGGAAAGAAGGAGCAGUGCCCGGUGCUAUUGUCCCAUCUGUCAGUCGCUGGAGAACCAGAACAAAGAAAGCUAGUGGGCUGUGGUAUAUCACAUGUCUGCCUCAAUCUUUCUGACUCUUUGCUCUGUUAUUCACUCACACACUCGGCACAUUUACUCCAGGAUAUGUGUGACUCCUCUGCAUCUGUCUUGUCUCCCAACCCCCUGCAUCAGUUUUUCUUAUUCUUUAUCCUUUACCCCCAUCAUCCCCCUCUAGGUGCCUCCCAUGUUUAUCCUCUCAAGAGCCAGGGUCUUUUCUCAGAAGCAGGUGGAGUUUGAGCAGGUGGAAGGCAGGCCAACAGGUAGGCGGAGGAACAAAAGAAUGAGAACCCUGGCUAUCCCAGUCAGAGAGAAGGUCACUGUAAGGCCAGCACACCCCACACCUGUCCUUUGGCGCCAGGGAGGGAGCGGGCAGAGAGGAAACUGGGGAAUGACACACCUGUCCCCUGGGCAAAUUGCUGCUAACACAAUAAGAGAUGAAGUGAAAAACAGAAAAAAAAGGAAGUCUCCUUAUUGUAAAUGUCUGCCAACCUGUCUCUGCUUCCCCAGAUUUUCUAGGUAAAACAAUCUUUUUACCUGCAGCAUCCUCCUCCCAGAUGGCCGACCUGCACCUCUGCAUGGAAACAUUUAUGCAAUGAAAUGUGUGCCUAAAUGAGUCCACUGUUAUGGUAACAGAACAGUGCCUGGAAACUGAACUCUACUACAGUUAUUUCUGUGAAAUAUCUAGGCAACAUUACGUGGAAGCCUUUAGAAGUAAACGAGUGAAAUGGACAAUUAUUAUCAUAUUCGUAUUGGAAUGAGUCUUAUUGGAAUGGAAAAUCCCCAUUUGUUUCACUCUAGUGCCAACCCGUUCAGGGGUUAGAGGUCUCUUCUCUGCUUUGCUUAUUCUGGGCCUUACACUAAACGAUCUUUCUGGGAGAAAGUUUCCCCUGAAAAUGAGAGCGAACAUUAGUCCGCUUCCAGUAGGAAUCCAACAAAAACAGACCUCUGCUUGACUGCCUGUCAUUGCCUCAUUUGCUUCUCUUAGUCUUAUUUUUGUACAUAUAUGUUGUGUCAUCUGUCUAAAAAGAUUUUGCAUUACAUUAUGUAGUAUAUUUAAAAUUUAACCAAAGACACAAUAGUAGAAUAUAGAUUAAGAAAGUUAGUAAAAAAAAAAAGGAGCUAAAAUCAGGCCAUAAUUCAGACCAUUUUCUGUAUGUAUUUAAGUUCAGAAAACAGUAUAGGUGUACUUUUCAUGCAAAAAUAAAUUCCUUUUUAAACAUUGACAUAAUUAAUGAUGUAAUCAUUAGGAAGUGAAAAACAAUGUAAUGUAACGUAAUUGUAAUUGUAAUGUUUGUUUUUAUGUAUGCCCUGUUAUGACAUGCUCUGUUUCAA